CCUACGGGUGGCAGCAGUGAGGAAUAUUGGUCAAUGGCCGCUAGCCUGAACCAGCCAAGUAGCGUGAAGGAUGACUGCCCUAUGGGUUGUAAACCUCUUUUAUCUGGGAAUAAAGUGCAGCAUGUAUACUGCUUUGCAUGUACCUUAUGAAUAAGGAUCGGCUAACUCCGUGCCAGCAGCCGCGGUAAUACGGAGGAUCCGAGCGUUAUCCGGAUUUAUUGGGUUUAAAGGGUGCGUAGGCGGGUUGUUAAGUCAGUUGUGAAAGUUUGCGGCUCAACCGUAAAAUUGCAGUUGAUACUGGCAUCCUUGAGUGCAGUAGAGGUAGGCGGAAUGCGUGGUGUAGCGGUGAAAUGCUUAGAUAUCACGAAGAACUCCGAGUGCGAAGGCAGCCUGCUGGCGUGUAACUGACGCUGAUGCACGAAAGUGUGGGUAUCAAACAGGAUUAGAUACCCGGGUAGUC
rnacentral:rRNA from 1 species